ACGCUGGGAAAGGACAAGUGCCGGUGACACUGCUCGUGGCACGGCCAGUAACUCCCUUUUAAGAUGUGAUUUUGGAGAAGAAAUAGUCCUUCUUGGAGACUCGGUGCUCCAUCUGUAAGCCGUCGGCGUUUAGCCGGGACGUGACUGCUCCGUUAAGGACCCCAACUGCCAGCUCCCGUCGCAGCCCGUCAGGCCAUGUUCACGGAGCUCUUAUCAAUAGAUGGACGUGAGCAGAUCGGACUCUGCAGCUUUUCCUUGCUCGCUUACGAGCAAACCUCCGGCCCUAGAGUUCUGGUCCUUCUCUCUCUUCACAAACUGGAAGCGCUUCCACCAGCGGGCACUCGGAAGCUGCAUGUUGAGGAUGGCAGUCGCUGUCCCUCCCUCUGAACCACCGAGCAGACGCAGCCGUCCACCUGCGUGGAACACUGCCCGGGACCACGCUGCCCCGGACCUCCGGACAAACCACCCUCCCGUCGCCAGGAAACAUCCACGAAGACAUCUCUCUCCCCCUCUUCUUAACCAUCACAUCCAAUACCUGUCCCCCACAUUUUCUGUGGCGGCUUUGAGUGUGUAAUCUUGCACGGUCCGGAUCAGCUCUAACAUUCCAUGAAGAUCCCACAAAACCACUCGGUGACAUCAUGCAAGAUUGGAUAGGCUGGCGGGAGAGGCAUUUGGGGGCUCUCUCUAGAGCCCCUCACAUCACAAGACAGAGGAAGCUGCGGACUUUUCCUCCCAGGGCUGUACCCGAAGCAUAUGGAAGUUCCUGGGCUAGGAGUCAAGUCGGAGCUGCAGCUGCUGGCCUACAGCACAGCCUCAGCAAUGUGGGAUCCAGGCCGCAUCUGCAACCUACACCACAGCUCACGGCAACUCCGGAUCCUUAACCCACUGGGCAAGACCAGGAAUCGAACCCGCAGCCUCAUGGAUCCUAGUCUGGUUGGUUACUGCUGAGCCAUGACAGAAACUCCAGAAGUGAUCUUAUCAUCCUGGCAUUGCUGUAACCUCCUCAUUCAACCACUGGGAGAACAGAUGUUCCACCCCCACCCCUAAGAAAGUUCCCUGUUACCUACUGGACAGUCUGACUUCUUCGGAUUAUCAUCCAAGCUCCUUUGCAUGUGACCCUCUCUCUAGCCCCAUCCUCUCCACAGCUCUGCCCAGUGCCUGUGGCCCGUGACUCUGAGCUACAGGCCAUUAUCCAAACAGUGCUUGCAUGGGCACACCUCCUGCCUUUGCUCGGGCAGGAAUGCCCUUCCUCAUGUUACCUGCCUGGUGAAUUCCUCCUCAUCCUUCAAGAUCCAGGUCCAAUAUCACCUGAGACACCCUCUUCUGAGACACUCCCUUCCCAGCUGGUCUUUCCCUCUUGUCUGUUCCUAAAGUGCUUUGC
rnacentral:lncRNA from 1 species